CUACGGGACGCAGCAGUGAGGAAUGUUGCACAAUGGGGGGAACCCUGAUGCAGCAAUGCCGCGUGGAGGAUGACGCAUUUCGGUGUGUAAACUCCUUUUAUAUGUCAAGAAAAUGACGGUAGCAUAUGAAUAAGCACCGGCUAACUCCGUGCCAGCAGCCGCGGUAAUACGGAGGGUGCAAGCGUUACUCGGAAUCACUGGGCGUAAAGGACGCGUAGGCGGGUUGGAAAGUCAGGUGUGAAAUCCUACAGCUUAACUGUAGAACUGCACUUGAAACUUCUAAUCUAGGGUAUGGGAGGGGGAGAUGGAAUUAGUGGUGUAGGGGUAAAAUCCGUAGAUAUCACUAGGAAUACCUAAAGCGAAGGCGAUCUCCUGGAACAUUACUGACGCUAAGGCGUGAAAGCGUGGGGAGCAAACAGGAUUAGAUACCCUUGUAGUC
rnacentral:rRNA from 1 species